UACGUAGGGGGCAAGCGUUGUCCGGAUUUAUUGGGCGUAAAGAGCGUGUAGGCGGCCAGGUAGGUCUGCUGUGAAAACUCGAGGCUUAACCUCGAGAUGUCAUCGGAAACCAUUUGGCUAGAGUCCGGAAGAGGAAAGUGGAAUUCCUGGUGUAGCGGUGAAAUGCGCAGAUAUCAGGAAGAACACCAAUGGCGAAAGCAGCUUUCUGGGACGGUACUGACGCUGAGACGCGAAAGCGUGGGGAGCGAACAGG
rnacentral:rRNA from 1 species